CGUGACAACUGAGGACGACAUUCUGAGCCGGUUUGAAAUCGGUAAAAUGCUUGGUGAGGGAGGAUUCGGUUCGGUUUAUGAAGGGAAACGCUUGGCGGAUGGCCUUGAGGUGGCGGUGAAAUUUGUCAAAAAAAAAGAGGGCAUGAAAUACAUCAACAUUCCCCAUCAUGCUGCACCCGUCCCAUUGGAGAUCGGCUUGUUAGCCAUUGUUAAUAGGGGCCUCAAAAUUAAAGAGGUCAUUGAACUGCUGGACUGGCAGGACCAGGCUGACCGAUAUAUCAUGGUCUUGGAGCGUCCCCCAAACUGCAUGGAUGGGUUUGAUUUUUGGGCUCAACAGGAUUACAUGUUCAACGAGGAAACGGCACGGACCAUCAUGAAGCAGGUGACAAUGGCUGCUCAAAUGUGCUGUGCCAAAGGAGUUUUCCACAGCGACAUCAAGUUGGAGAACCUGCUGAUCAACCCAGAAACACUUGAGGUCAAACUGAUCGACUUCGGGUGCGGGAGACUCAUGCAAGUGAUGGCCUAUAACGUCUUCAGUGGCACACACGAGUACUGUCCACCGGAGUUCAGCAGAUGGGGCAAGUACUACGCUAAAUCAGCUACUGCGUGGUCUCUGGGAAUGGUCUUAUUCGAAAUGCUGUCUGGACACCUUCCAGGAUCCGAAGAGAUGGACAAGAUUAAUGAUGACACCUGGUCUGAUCCUCGCUUGUCAAACGAAUGCUGCGACCUGAUUCGACGCCUCCUGCAGAGAAAACCAAGACAACGGAUGGGUUUGGACAAAAUCAUGUCCCAUAAAUGGUUUAAGAGAAGGAGAGCGCGAUAGUCAGGAGAGACAGAAGAGGAAGAGUAGGUCAGAGCAGCAGCUGAGGUCAAGAUGAAACCAAGCGGACAUCCUUUAUCAUUGGCCAGAAGAGAAAACGAAGUUCCCGCAGUGCUCAGCGUUACGAUCCUCAACAUCCAGCACCGAUGUGGCUGAAACCCAUCAGCAUUUUUGUGUUGGUGAGGAAAAAGAGUCUGAAGAGGAAGAGGACGGAUCACCUUCAUCACCUUCUGUGACCGGAGAGGCAGCGCAGACCGAGAUACAUGAGGGACAUGCUGAGGUCAAUGCAGAUCCCCUCAUGAUUGCUAAUCGGUCUGAUAAUGAGAGUAGAGUCCCAUAUACCUGGAAAACUGGCAUGCGACCCGCCAAUUAAUUAAACCAAAAGGAUCAUGACCGGCAGUACAUGCACAUUGGAGCGAUGGUGGAGUUUGCGUCGGCUUUGCUGGGGACUCUGGAUGACAUCAACAACCAUUUCUUUAGUGGCUUAGCACUUUCACACCCAACAACAUAUUGUUAAAGGGAUACUCCACUUUUUUUGGAAAUAGGCUCAUUUGACC